GCCCGGGUGGCGAAAUCGGUAGACGCAAGGGACUUAAAAUCCCUUGAGGGAAACCUCGUGUGGGUUCGAGUCCCACCCCGGGCA
rnacentral:tRNA from 1 species